AAUCGUGAAUCAGAAUGUCACGGUGAAUACGUUCCCGGGCCUUGUACACACCGCCCGUCACACCAUGGGAGUGGGUUGCACCAGAAGUAGAUAGCUUAACCGCAAGGGGGGCGUUUACCACGGUGUGAUUCAUGACUGGGGUGAAGUCGUAACAAGGUAACCGUAGGGGAACCUGCGGUUGGAUCACCUCCUUACGAAG
rnacentral:rRNA from 1 species